GGUCAUAGUGAUCCGGUGGUUCUGUAUGGAAGGGCCAUCGCUCAACGGAUAAAAGGUACUCCGGGGAUAACAGGCUGAUACCGCCCAAGAGUUCAUAUCGACGGCGGUGUUUGGCACCUCGAUGUCGGCUCAUCACAUCCUGGGGCUGAAGUCGGUCCCAAGGGUAUGGCUGUUCGCCAUUUAAAGUGGUACGCGAGCUGGGUUUAGAACGUCGUGAGACAGUUCGGUCCCUAUCUGCCGUGGGCGUUGGAAGAUUGAAGGGGGCUGCUCCUAGUACGAGAGGACCGGAGUGGACGAACCUCUGGUGUUCGGGUUGUGUCGCCAGACGCAUUGCCCGGUAGCUAAGUUCGGAAUUGAUAAGCGCUGAAAGCAUCUAAGCGCGAAGCGAGCCCUGAGAUGAGUCUUCCCUGACAGUUUAACUGUCCUAAAGGGUUGUUCGAGACUAGAACGUUGAUAGGCAGGGUGUGUAAGCGUUGUGAGGCGUUGAGCUAACCUGUACUAAUUGCCCGUGAGGCUUAACCAUACAACACCCAAGGGGUUUUGUA
rnacentral:rRNA from 1 species